rnacentral:lncRNA from 1 species
CAAUCUUUCCCUCUUUCUGCCUCAGCUUCCGCCAAGAACUUCUUACCUGGGCAUGUAUUUCUAUCCUAUUCACUUUUUACUCUCUGGCGUGGAACUUCUUCCUACCAAACUGUCAUCCUCUGCACCUCUCCUGGCCUUCCUCACAAGUUUGUAAGCAUUAAGAAGCUACCAUGAAAGUCUUGCUAUGAAGUAACUGGCAAAACUAGAGACACCGACUGGCUUCCUCUCAAAGGCUCGGCGUGCCCACAGUGGAGGACGGGAAGCAUUCUCCAAUCCGAAAAGUCUGGAACGCUGUGGCAACUAUUUUGCUCAGGGCAGGCAGAAGACGGUGGUUCUUUGGUACAUUCCCCUUCUUACUGAGCUUCGUUUACUGAGGCUUCUCCUCAACACGCCAGGAUCCAGCAUGUAUAACACCUUUGGAGUGGGCUGUCUCGGGGCUGAGGAGCGAAACGGGGGGCUGGUUAUGGAGUUCCAGCAUGGGGUUACUUAGCUCGCCCAGACUUGGAAACCAGCCAGCGUGAUGAGGACAGGUAGUGGACGCGAUUGCCCACCCCUUGUUAAUGUGUUAGGAUUAAACAGACAAACGGGCCCGCACACCGCCUGCCCCAUUCUAGCCCGCCUUAAUUCUGG